rnacentral:ncRNA from 1 species
CGGAGGUAGCCGAAAAUCCUUAAAAGAGUAGGCA